rnacentral:rRNA from 1 species
AACGAACGCUGGCGGCAGGCUUAACACAUGCAAGUCGAACGCGCCCUUCGGGGCGAGUGGCAGACGGGUGAGUAACGCGUGGGAACCUACCUUUUGGUACGGAAUAACUCAGGGAAACUUGAGCUAAUACCGUAUAAGCCCUGACUUUUAAUCGGGUCUGGAGAAAGAUUCAUCGCCAAAGGAUGGGCCCGCGUCGGAUUAGCUAGUUGGUGGGGUAAAGGCCUACCAAGGCGACGAUCCAUAGCUGGUCUGAGAGGAUGAUCAGCCACACUGGGACUGAGACACGGCCCAGACUCCUACGGGAGGCAGCAGUGGGGAAUAUUGGACAAUGGGCGAAAGCCUGAUCCAGCAAUGCCGCGUGAGUGAUGAAGGCCUUAGGGUUGUAAAGCUCUUUUACUAGGGAUGAUAAUGACAGUACCUAGAGAAUAAGCUCCGGCUAACUCCGUGCCAGCAGCCGCGGUAACAC